rnacentral:rRNA from 1 species
UACGGAGGAUGCGAGCGUUAUCCGGAUUUAUUGGGUUUAAAGGGUGCGUAGGCGGACUGUCAAGUCAGCGGUAAAAUUGAGAGGCUCAACCUCUUCCCGCCAUUGAAACUGGCGACCUUGAGUGGAAGAGAAGUAUGCGGAAUGCGUGGUGUAGCGGUGAAAUGCAUAGAUAUCACGCAGAACCCCGAUUGCGAAGGCAGCAUGCCGGCUUCCUACUGACGCUGAAGCACGAAAGCGUGGGGAUCGAACAGG